UACGUAGGGUGCAGGCGUUAAUCGGAAUUACUGGGCGUAAAGCGUGCGCAGGCGGUUUGUUAAGACAGGUGUGAAAUCCCCGGGCUUAACCUGGGAACUGCGCUUGUUACUGGCAGACUUGAGUGUGGCAGAGGGGGGUGGAAUUCCAGGUGUAGCAGUGAAAUGCGUAGAGAUCUGGAGGAACACCGAUGGCGAAGGCAGCCCCCUGGGUUAACACUGACGCUCAUGCACGAAAGCGUGGGGAGCAAACGGG
rnacentral:rRNA from 1 species